rnacentral:rRNA from 2 species
GUUUUUGACGGAGGCUCCAGGUUGCCCUUUACUGUGAGUGUCUGGGGCGCCGUCAGGUUUACUUUGAAAAAAUUAGAGUGCUCAAAGCAGGCUUUACACGCUUGAAUAUUCGUGCAUGGAAUAAUGGAAUAGGAAGUCGUUCCUAUUUUGUUGGUUUUCGGGAAUUGACUUAAUGAUUAAUAGGGACAGCCGGGGGCAUUAGUAUUCAGACGACAGAGGUGAAAUUCUUGGACCGUCUGAAGACUAACUACUGCGAAAGCAUUUGCCAAGAGUGUUUUCAUUAAUCAAGAACGAAAGUUAGAGGUUCGAAGGCGAUCAGAUACCGCCCUAGUUCUAACCAUAAACGAUGCCAGCUAGCGAUCCGCGGGUGUUACUUUAAGGCCCCGCGGGAAGCUUCCGGGAAACCAAAGCUUGUGGGUUCCGGGGGAAGUAUGGUUGCAAAGCUGAAACUUAAAGGAAUUGACGGAAGGGCACCACCAGGAGUGGAGCCUGCGGCUUAAUUUGACUCAACACGGGAAAUCUCACCAGGCCCGGACACUGGAAGGAUUGACAGAUUGAGAGCUCUUUCUCGAUUCAGUGGGUGGUGGUGCAUGGCCGUUCUUAGUUGGUGGAGUGAUUUGUCUGGUUAAUUCCGAUAACGAACGAGACUCUGUCCUGCUAAAUAGUCGUGGUGUCUCUUUUGCGCCUCGAUGUCUUCUUAGAGGGACUGGCGGCUUUUAGCCGCACGAGAUUGAGCAAUAACAGGUCUGUGAUGCCCUUAGAUGUUCUGGGCUGCACACGCGCUACACUGAAGGGAUCAGCGUGUUUUCCCUUCCCGAGAGGGACGGGUAAACCGCUGAAACCCCUUCGUGGUAGGGAUCGGAGCUUGCAAUUAUUCUCCGUGAACCAGGAAUUCCCAGUAAGCGCAAGUCAUAAGCUUGCGUUGAUUACGUCCCUGCCCUUUGUACACACCGCCCGUCGCUACUACCGAUUGAACGUUUUAGUGAGGUAUUUGGA